rnacentral:misc_RNA from 1 species
CUAAACUAUGGCUUAUUGGAAAAUUACUGGGAUUUAGAUUCAGAUUCAAGAAUUGGGAGUGAAGUAGAUAAUCAAAUAAGGAAGACCCAUGUAGGAAAAAGUUCCAAGAAUUCCCUUCCUUAUCCAGAAAACCCAAUAAUCAAACAGUACAGUGCUGAGUAUUGGAUCUUGGGGGAUUUGAUGACACCUGAAAAAUUAAAACUUGGAUCUUUUGCGAAAAGGGUGUUUACUGCUGAGGAAGCUGAUGUGAUUUUUGUUCCUUUUUUUGCUACAUUGAGUGCUGAGAUGCAACUGAUUGUGAAUAAGGGUGUGUUCAGGAAGAAAGAGGGGAAUGAGGACUAUCAGAGACAAAGAAUGGUUCUGGAUUUUUUGAAGCAAACUGAGGUUUGGAAACGCUCUGGUGG